rnacentral:miRNA from 1 species
UUGGAGGCGUGGGUUUU